rnacentral:rRNA from 1 species
UACGUAGGGGGCAAGCGUUGUCCGGAAUUAUUGGGCGUAAAGCGCGUGUAGGCGGUCCGGUAAGUCGGCUGUGAAAGUCCAGGGCUCAACCCUGGGAUGCCGGUCGAUACUGCCGGACUAGAGUUCGGGAGAGGGAUGUGGAAUUCCAGGUGUAGCGGUGAAAUGCGUAGAUAUCUGGAGGAACACCGGUGGCGAAGGCGGCAUCCUGGACCGAUAUUGACGCUGAGGCGCGAAAGCCAGGGGAGCAAACGGG